UGGGGAAUAUUGGACAAUGGGCGAAAGCCUGAUCCAGCCAUGCCGCGUGUGUGAAGAAGGUCUUCGGAUUGUAAAGCACUUUAAGUUGGGAGGAAGGGCAUUAACCUAAUACGUUAGUGUUUUGACGUUACCGACAGAAUAAGCACCGGCUAACUCUGUGCCAGCAGCCGCGGUAAUACAGAGGGUGCAAGCGUUAAUCGGAAUUACUGGGCGUAAAGCGCGCGUAGGUGGUUUGUUAAGUUGGAUGUGAAAUCCCCGGGCUCAACCUGGGAACUGCAUUCAAAACUGACUGACUAGAGUAUGGUAGAGGGUGGUGGAAUUUCCUGUGUAGCUGUGAAAUGCGUAGAUAUAGGAAGGAACACCAGUGGCGAAGGCGACCACCUGGACUAAUACUGACACUGAGGUGCGAAAGCGUGGGGAGCAAACA
rnacentral:rRNA from 1 species